GCUGUCCCUUCCACAACGGCUUUGUCAAACAUCGAUUCACACGAGCCAGUGUCAACAGAGGACAGUGCAGGACUGGCCUUGACAGCCAUGCUGGGGCCGGGGUGACCGGUCCCGGAGCCCACGUGGGCAGAGGGCAGCCCAGCAGGGGAGGGGCCCCUGAGCCCAGCCCCAGAAACGCGGGCUGCGGGGGCUCCCCAGCCCAGGGGGGACCCGGCCCCUGCUUUCCUCUCGCGGUUCCUUCUGCACAGGCAGAAAGAGCACCUGAGCCCCACUUUGCAGGGAUGUGGCCAAGAGUGGGAGGAAGUGCUGUCUUUCUGGAAACUUCUUUCCCAGCGAGAGGAUGUGUAAAGCCUGGGGACAAGCUCCAACUUGGCGCUGGUCUUCUCCGUUGAUUACCCAGCAGCCAGGGUGAUGUAGGAUCCGGCAGCUCCUUCCUCUGAGCCGUUUCCUGCUGUGAAAUCUGAAAACAGAGAGUGGCAACACCGGGCCUGGGCUGGGGCAAAGCACCAGUGUGCGCUGUCCCACCCCCUGCUCACGCGUGCUGCCUGGCUCUGCACACACACGGGGCAGAUGAGGAAACGGAGGUUCAGAGAGGACCAGGAAACUGCCUGAGCGGAGGGAGGCGAGGCCAGGAUGCGCAGCUCAGUCAUCUGCAGCCCACACGCCGCCGACGGCUUCCGUGCGUGGCCAUCUGUCUUCCAGAAACCCUCUGGCAGCGGGACGAGCAGAUGACACGGAGGCGUUCACUCUCCGAAACCCGCUUGAGAGUCAAAACACUGCUGACGAGGCUGCGGGGCUGUGCUGGCCCUCGGGUGCCCGUCAGAGCUCUGGCACAGCCUGCGGCCCCAGGCCCGGCUCAGCCCCUGGCUGGCGGUGUGGCCCCCAAGCACGUCCCUGCCCCUCCAUGCCCGGCGUCCUCUCUGCUGGAGACCCCAGGCCCCCUCCGGCCCUGUCCACGUCCACUUCUGCACCCAGCCCAGCCCUGCUUGGCAGGCAGGGGAAGACGUGGGGCCGUCUGUCCUCAAAGAGGAGGGCGGUGGGACAGGGAGCCCCUGGGCAGGGCGGCAGCCACAGCCUCUGGGACGCAGUUCUGGGGACGCCCAGUGGGCCCAGGCCGAGCGCCAAGCGGCCGUUGUUGAGACCCGAGACCCCUGGUGGGUUUGUGCUCGUGUCCUGGGCAGCAGGUGCCCCGGGAGCAGCCCUGGGCCUCAGCGGGACUUGGGCAGGGUCUGUGCCGGCCGGGCUCCGGAACCUCGAUCCAGGACCAGGUGUUUGAAUGCCUCCAUUUCCACCCUCGGCCCUGUCCACGCCCCACCUCCGCUAACAUUCCGGCACAUUCUGGUGGGGCGGUUGCCGGAGUCACUCAGCUGGGGCUCCCACCUGCCUGCCACCCCUGAAUCCCCCUGAAUUCCCUUCACUCCAGGCUGUCCCUGGAGCGAGUGGCCUGCCCAGUGGAGGUGCCCUCACCUGUCACCUCCCUGGCCCUGCCGCCCCCAGGCCCCUGGUGACUCAGCUCCACAAUCCUCACAGCCCUGUCCUCCCCCAGGAGAGAGUGGGCGGCUUUGAGCCCUGGGGUGCUGGGAUCCUGUCGUUUAAACGGCUUCCACCUGCUGUCGCCUCCCACCUCCCUGAGCCCUCCGAGCGCCCGUGGCCAGAAGCAGAGCUGCAGGCACAGGGUCCCCAUGUCGUUGCUCCACCCCCACCCCCGCUUUCUCCUGAAAAGGAGGUCUGGCCCUCCCCCACCCCACAUUGCCCAGCCGAGCCUUAGGGACCACCUCCCCCAACGUGCAGACACAGCUUCCGGCAGCCUCCGAGAGGCUGCUUCUGGGGGACACGGGUACCGCAAGCCCAGGCUCUCCAGGGCCUGGACGAGGGGGCCUUCCUUCCUCGGACUGGGCACGGCUGGUGUCAGCAGACCCCUUCCCAAGGACUGUCCACAAUCCUGAGAGCAGAAGUGGCCCUGCAGCGGGGCCGAGGCCUCCAGGUUCUUGGCGGGAGCCGCCGUCGCUGUGGGGUCUGAGCCACCAGGACGAAGGCUCCGGUUGGUUAAUGCGCAGCCGGGAGGCAGAUACCACGUGAAAACCACGUGCUGGCCUCACUGCCCCCCCCCCCGCGCCCCCCGUGCUCACUCUCAUGGUCCCCAAGGUGGGGGCCGCGGCGCUGCUCUGGGCAGAGGUGCUCCUCCGUCCGCCCGACCUCUGCCUGCCACUGUUGGGAGCGCUUGGGGCAGAGGGACCCGGCAGGGGCUGCUGGCUCCUGGUUUGGAUCUUGGCUCAGGCUCCCUUGGGAGGCGGCGGGGUGAGCAGCUGUGGACCCCCCUCAGUCGGCUCACGGGACAGCCCUGCUGCUCCCCCCAGCCUCCCCAGGGGCUGCCCCCGUCCUGACACGGGUGUCUGGCACACGCUGGGUCUUUCGUAUAUCUGUGCCACGUGUGUUUGGAUCCCCGAACAGUAAAGUGUGUGGUUUUGCAUGAUUCUGAGCUUCCUACAAAUCCAAGCAUGUGGCACGAGGCGUCCUGCGAUCGGCUCUUUCCCACCCAGGACCACGUUUCCAGGGCGACCCACACGGUGCAGUGACUGCAGCUGCUUCCUCUCCACGCUGCGUCCUACUCUGCCGCGCGACCGCCGCACAGCACAGCGAUGGGCGUCCUCGUGCAGUGCCCUGGCACGUGUGGCCGCAAACCCGAGCAGGGACCUGCUCCCUCUUCCAUCACUCAGCCACCCUGGGGCAGCACAGUGGGCGGAGCAGCGGGGACAGGGCGGGUGGCUGAGAUUCCUCUGUGCCUGAUGGCGCUGACGGGCGGUCUGUGACUUCCGCGACGACAACGUUGCUCUACCCCCGCCAGGCCAGCUGGGAACAAAAGACUGACAACACCGAGUGGCGUCGGAAUCCUCACGUCCUGUGCGUGGGAGGUAAACUGACGCCACCACUCUGGAAAACCGUCUGGAAUGACUCAGCAAAGCUGGACGCAGACCCGAGGACCCGGCCAAUCCCCCACUGAGCACGGAUCCAGCAGAAACGCGCGUGAGAGCCAAAAUCAGACGCGGGCAGGAAUGUUCAGCCCCGUCUCAUUCAUACACUAGACUCCACCCACACGUCCCUCGACAGAAGGGGCAGCCCACAGUGUCCACCACUCGCUACUCAACCGCGGAAGGAGAGAUUCCUGCCGCCCAGAGCGGCAGAGCGCUGGAGGGUCAGAGGUCAGGGCGGAGGUGACCUCUGUGGGUAAUGACUGGGGGUCCCCAGGGGGCACGCGGGCUCUCGGUGGGUGCUGGGGAUGCUCUUGAUGUGGACCGUGGACACGCAGUGUGGCUACACAGGUGUGGACGCGUGCAAAGAUGCACUGAGCGAGAGACUUGGGAUUUGUGCCGUUCGU